UGUAAAAUCACGUGAUUUCAUAAUCUCGUGGGCAUUGUUUUCAAUAACAGAAAUACCUUUAACUCUUGCCGAUAUUGCUUUAGAAACAUUACAGCGCUCAAUUUACGAUUGUUGCAAGAGAAAUUCAUAGGAAGCAAGCAAAAAUGUAUCUGUCACCAUCUGCCCCUACUCUCUCUCCCUCGCCUCUGACGUUGCCUACCACCCCCAACCGAGACCAAUUGGUCGGGAAAGUGGACGAACUGCGUCGACAACAUGAGCAAGAUAUGCAGGAGCUUCAUCGCAGUAGGAGUAUGAGAAAGGAGAGGAUGAAUCAAGGACUUCAGGAGAAGUUGCAGCAGCGAAGAAGUCGACGUAACAAAACCGACGACGAAUGAAUUUCUUCAAAACUUUUUCCUUUUUCUUUCUCACUCUUUCUCCUUUAAACACUUGCAAAUUCGAUUAAACUCGAAUUUUUGACACUUAUCAAGAGAAUAUUUUCCCUUCGACCUACAGUAUAACCCUUUAUAGUUUUUAUUUAUAUUAAAACAUGAAAAAUUCUUUGAAACUUAUUAAAAUUUAAUUAACAUAAC